rnacentral:SRP_RNA from 1 species
CCGUGCAGCCGGGGAGAUAGCGGUGCCCUAUACCUGCAAUCCGCUACAGCAGGGGUGAUGCCGAACAGAGGGCUUUUCAUUGCGAAGCUGGCCUUUAUAAGUGGCGAUGACGUCUGGGUCUCGCGCAACGGAAAUCUAUGAAUCGUGUCAGGGCAGGAAUGCAGCAGCACUAAAUAGAACCUUUCGUGUGCCGUGAGGGUGCCUGGGCCGAGUUAACUGUAAAGGUAACGUUCGUGAUGGAGGUUCGAAGGGAGGCGCACGG